rnacentral:rRNA from 1 species
GCGCAGCCUGAGCAGCCAUGCCGCGUGUGUGAAGAAGGCCUUCGGGUUGUAAAGCACUUUCAGUCGUGAGGAAGGUAGUGUAGUUAAUAGCUGCAUUAUUUGACGUUAGCGACAGAAGAAGCACCGGCUAACUCCGUGCCAGCAGCCGCGGUAAUACGGAGGGUGCGAGCGUUAAUCGGAAUUACUGGGCGUAAAGCGCAUGCAGGUGGUUUGUUAAGUCAGAUGUGAAAGCCCGGGGCUCAACCUCGGAAUAGCAUUUGAAACUGGCAGACUAGAGUACUGUAGAGGGGGGUAGAAUUUCAGGUGUAGCGGUGAAAUGCGUAGAGAUCUGAAGGAAUACCGGUGGCGAAGGCGGCCCCCUGGACAGAUACUGACACUCAGAUGCGAAAGCGUGGGGAGCAAACAGGAUUAGAUACCCUGGUAGUCCACGCCGUAAACGAUGUCUACUUGGAGGUUGUGGCCUUGAGCCGUGGCUUUCGGAGCUAACGCGUUAAGUAGACCGCCUGGGGAGUACGGUCGCAAGAUUAAAACUCAAAUGAAUUGACGGGGGCCCGCACAAGCGGUGGAGCAUGUGGUUUAAUUCGAUGCAACGCGAAGAACCUUACCUACUCUUGACAUCCAGAGAACUUUCCAGAGAUGGAUUGGUGCCUUCGGGAACUCUGAGACAGGUGCUGCAUGGCUGUCGUCAGCUCGUGUUGUGAAAUGUUGGGUUAAGUCCCGCAACGAGCGCAACCCUUAUCCUUGUUUGCCAGCGAGUAAUGUCGGGAACUCCAGGGAGACUGCCGGUGAUAAACCGGAGGAAGGUGGGGACGACGUCAAGUCAUCAUGGCCCUUACGAGUAGGGCUACACACGUGCUACAAUGGCGCAUACAGAGGGCAGCAAGCUAGCGAUAGUGAGCGAAUCCCAAAAAGUGCGUCGUAGUCCGGAUUGGAGUCUGCAACUCGACUCCAUGAAGUCGGAAUCGCUAGUAAUCGUGGAUCAGAAUGCCACGGUGAAUACGUUCCCGGGCCUUGUACACACCGCCCGUCACACCAUGGGGAGUGGGCUGCAAAAGAAGUAGGUAGUUUAACCUUCCGGGAGGACGCUUACCACUUUGUGGUUCAUGACUGGGGUGAUCGU